CCUAUCUCACACUCAUCAUCCUCUUGGUUCUCUCUCUCUCUCUCAACUCUCUCAUCUUCACACCGGUUCUCUCUAGUCCCAUUUGUUGAGCCGCUAAAACAGACCUCGACAAGCUACCCUGUCCUUCUCUGUGUAUCUCUCCCAGUCGCUAGCUAGAAGAAAGAACCUAGGGAGUGUCGAUUGUGCCGCCGUUGAUAUGUCUAAGCUUGGCAAUUAUUGGUUUGAUUUUGUUUGGAAAUUUUGGCUCUCUUUCCUUCUUUGUGACUCUCUCUCCAUCAAUCGGAUGUUAGCAUGGAGGUGGGACUGUGGGGAUGGUGUUGUAACUGCGAAGACUUCAAUGGGACUAGGGUACCAUUGCCGUGAAGAAAAUGGUCUAUUUUGAUUACAUCCCCAAUUAUCUAAAAUGAAUGAGUGGUUUGCUGGAUUGGAGAGUAAUAGAUGGCACGUGAGGUAGAAAGCCCCUCUGUUUUGACUCGAUCCUCAUUUCAGAUGCCCAUUCCUCUCUUCUCGACACCGUUCGGUAUUGAAAAUUACCAAGUUUUAAUAUUUAUAUUGGAUCUCUUUAUAAACUCAGUAUGUUUUGAAUUUGUG